GUGUAGUUCACAUGUGAUUCAAUCCCUCUAUCAUAAGUCUCGACUAGAUGGCAGGUCAUGGAUAAAUUAUCAAAUCUUAUCAUCAAUCAUAUGAUAGAUUCGAUUAGCUUAAGUCCAAUUGUGAUCCUCAUAAAAAUUUUUUUCUUUCCAUCACACUACUGUGACCACAGACUCUCAGACUUAGUCUUUCAAAUCUCAUAAAACUACUCCUCUCUAUCAAGAUCGAUAGAUUCCAUCU
rnacentral:lncRNA from 1 species